rnacentral:lncRNA from 1 species
CUCUGUGUAACGACCCGGAAACCGGACCGCUAUCGGCGCUAGGAUCCAGAUCGACUUAAGGUCGCCGGGACCCGUAGCAAGCCUAACAUACAUCCUGUACAACUGGUAUAAUCCCAUACAUGAUCAAACAUAAACAUAAAACUUUAAAACAUUUACUAUACUAAGUUUGACCUGAACAUACAACAUAUUAUAAACAUAUAACCCACACCAGAGCCUUCAUCAAAUGCCCUAGUGUGGUCAACAUUACAUAUGUCAAGCCUGGUUUCUCAUGAGACAUCAUUACAAACAUAACAUACUGAUCAUGUAUAAGAAAGGAUUAACCAAACCUUAGGGCCAAGCACAAUACUAAUCCAUAAACAUAACUCUACUUUACGUUACAUUAUAUUACAUUAUCUUAAAAUACAUUAUAUCGAUUUACAUUACAUGUCCACUACUAUUCUAUUACAUAGCCAAAACUUUACCCUUGACGUCUUCCUGGACUACCUCUGACCUGCAAUCUGGGGUUAGGGGAGAGGGGUGAGCUAAAAAGCCCAGUGAGUAGAACAAUAAUAAAAAUCAUUUAAACAUAUGCUUUCAUGAAAUGCAUCGCAUCACAAACAUAUCACGUCAAGGAUGAACUUGUCAUCAAUAGCCCUCUACAUGUCUCAUAGCAUAACAUGUCCAACUAUGCCAGGGGCGAUACGGCCACGCCUAGUCUUCUCUUACAUAACUCAUAUCAUAAAAUGUCCAACUAUGCCAGGGGCGAUACGGCCACGCCUGGUCUUCUCUUACAUAUAACAUAUUGCCAGGGGCGAUACGGCCACACCUAGUCUUUCCAUCUCAUGUCAUAUCAUAUCAUAUCAUAUCAUAUCAUAUCGUACUGAGGGCUAAAGGAUCAUCCAAUAUCCAUCCACAUCGUCAUCAUAGUAUUAUGCAAUGCAUCAUAUUCGUGAAUUCUAAUGCAAACAACCUAUUACAUAACAUGGUAUUCAUGAUGCAUGAACAUGCUUAAAACAUUUGAUUUAUUUUAAAACAUAAAGUUCAGUUCUACUCACCUCUGGCUAGCUCUGGACUAACUCUGAAGCAGCUAACACUGCUGAACACCUCGGUUCCUCAGGUCCGAUCCUACACAGGUGGACUCAAAUGAGGGACCAAACAACUCUAACAUAACACUAAACAUCUCCCCAAAAACACCUCAAAACAUGCAAGCAAAACAGGCAAAGGAAGGCUGGACAGGGCAGCUUCGGCGGCACAUUCGGCGGCCGAAUGCUCCCACAGAUCCGAAAGUCAGGCACUUUCGGAGGCAGGUUCGGCGGCCGAAAGUCUCCUCCAGAGACGAAAGCCAGGCACUUUCGGUGGCACCUUCGGCGGCCGAAAGUGUCUUCCAGAGCCGAAAGUCCAUUUUCGGGGGCAAGGUUAGGCGGCCAAAGAUUGCUUCCACAGGCAGGUUCGGAAGCCGAAACUACCUUCGGCGGCCGAACCUGGGUUCCCCAGCAAGGCAGAACCCGUUUCCGCCUCAUGCAAUCCGCCUCCAACACCUCCCACCCUCACAUCCAACACUUCCAAAACAUGCACAACUCAUACAACAAGCAUAUAGGGGUCUCAAACUAGCCUAAACCCCCAACAAACAUCACAUAAACAUGCAUUAACAUACUUUUAUCAUAAAGGGUAUCAAAACCCUAACAUGCACAUCCAUACAACUCAUGCAUUCCUAGCCCUUAACCCUUCAUAAAACUCACUUAAAACAUCAUAAAAGAUAAAGAUCUACACUUACCUCUUGAAGAUCGAGGGUUGGUGCGACCCAAAUUUAGAGAUAUGGAGAACCCAAGUUCCAAAAGUCUCCAAGCUCUCAAAACCUUGAUCAAAGCUUAAAACUCUUCAAAGCAAAGAUAAAACUCAUGACAACUUGAAGGAUUUGAAGAAAAAGCAUAAAAACAACCAAAGGAGAGCAUGAACUCACCUAUGCCCGAAAAGAGAGAGAAAACUCGCCCAUUUUCCGGACAAAGGGCCUUUUAUAGGUGACCGGCCAAAUCUCCUUCGGCGGCCAAAGCUGCUUCCAAAGCUUCACCACGUUCGGCGGCCGAACUUGGGGUUCGGCGGCAGCAAAAGGAAGCCACUUUCAGAAGCCUAACGUGCCUCCUAAACUGCCCCAUGUUCGGCGGCCGAACGUGGGUUCUUCCCUCCUUGGUCUUUUCUUUCAAAACGCAAAUCCU